AAAACAGAAACAAAUGUAAUACACUUUAGUCUUUUGUCAGAUGAAAGUGCAGAGGGAAAAAAAAAACAGAUUAUGCUGACACCAAAGUUUUGUUUCUUUAUUAAACUCAUGUGUAACAGUUGCAUGCAACUGCUGCAUUGAGUUCAUACAGCCUAGUCUUCAAGAGCAGCCUUGUGUGGCUGUCUGAGGAAAAGCAGAGGGCAAGUACAUGCAAUAGCUCCCCCUAAUACUCUUUCAGCAUCUAACUGUUUUGAGCUUACAACUUCCUGAGUCAGAUCUGGUUUCUGUUUACCUUGUGACCCCUGCAAUAGCCAUAAACUUGUUCCAGUUACCCCUGAGCCCAGGUAAAGCACAGGGAUGCAGUCUUUCUUGACAAAGAGUCCCAGAGCUAUGUAUUGCACAGAAAAAACUACCUUAUUUACUUCAAGCUGUCUCCUACUAGCUUGACUUGAGUUUGCCUUGUUCUUGUACUGGGAGAAGUGAGUUUAUCCACAACUUCAUGUCACUUCUGAUUUCAGAUUAAUGUUGCUGCCUUGCCUUGUAUAUUUCUUAGGCUUAUCUGUCCUAGCCCAUUUUCCUUUCUUACAAAGAGAUUUCAAUAUCCUUCUUUACCUUUGAACCCUUCACAGUUCUGCUAUUUUAUUUUUAGAAGAAAAUAAAUCAAAACUAUAAGCAAAAUUCAAAAUAUAGUAGAAACAUGGAUCUAUACAGCGGCAUCGUUGUGUUCUUGCUCUUCAUUUCCAUCCUUUGUGCAACAAAGUAUUUUAUUUUAGCACAGAACUAAAAGGGCCAAGCAAGUUUCUGUAACCUAAUGUCAAAUUAUCAGCUUCACAGGGAGCAAGAUUUAGGAAGCACCAGAACAGGCAUUAGGCAUGGGGCAACAGGUUGCCAUGUCAUUUGUAUGUAUAAGGGGACAAGUACUUCCAAGCUCAUCUCUUUUUUUUUCAAUUUGGCUAAUGAGAUUGAAGAAAUCUAACAAAAUUAAGCAAAAAUAAUAAUAAUAAUAAUAAAAACUGCCUCCACUUUCCCAUUUCAAGAUCCUGACUCCACCAAUUGUGUGAGCUCCUCUCCCAGCAGACUCCUUUCCUCAGGCUUAGGAUUCCAGUCGUAUAGCUCUGCCUCUCAAUUUUACCCAUUUCAUAUCCUGCCUCUCCCCUGUUCUCUACACUGGGCUCACCCACUUAGAGAAUUCUCAGCCUGGUACUCUCCCAUGCCGUGCUCCUGCACACUUGGCCAGACGCUCAAGCCCUGCACCAGCUUGAAUCCCACAGUCAGCAAAGCUGAACUGGAGAUCACUGCUGUGUACAGCAGCAACAGAGACCAGCCCACAGUAGCCAGAAGCAGAGAUCUUGAGAUGUACAAACCUAUUCAGGAAACAAAUGAAAGCACUUACCCCAAGUCUCGGAGAGACUGCAGGUACAAGGAAAGGAGCUGCUGGUGCUAUAGGCUCAGUUGCGGGCCAGUCUGGGAAUUUAUAUAUAUAAAGUUAUAUAUAUAUAAAAGUUCUGUAUAUAUAUAUAUAUAUACAGUAAAAAAAUUAAGUUUAAGAUUCCCAGAAUGCAAAGGAGAAAGCCCACUGGAGUUCUGGAUAACAAUUGCGCAGGUGGUGCUGUGUACCCACUAUGCUGAACUAAGAAGCUUCUGACAAGACACCCAGGCUCCCUAUUGCAUAAGCAAAGGUAUCUCAGAGGAGGCCUCAAUAAUUCUCAUGAGACAUAGAGGGGGAAAAAUAUGCAAACAUGUAACAAGUUUCACUUUCGAAGGAAAACAACAUUUCCUCCCCUACAUUUUCAGUAUCAUUAAAUUGAGACAAAUGGUACAAGUCUGGUAGCUUGUCCACAACUGAGGGAUACAGGCAUCCAGACUCCACAUAUUGCUGGGCUCCAUUGCACAGUGACAGCAAGAGUUAUCUGCUGAAUCAAGUUGGGAACUGUCAGAAAUAACAUUUUCUAUAGCUAAAUUCAUGAGAGGUUCUUUGUGCAUGGUCAGCAUAUCUUAAUCAACUGCAGGAUUCCUGAUGUGCUGGAAAGGGGCUUUGUUGUUGUUUGUAAUGCACUUAUUUACUCAAGAAAGCUCAGCUCUGAUUCGGCAUCUGGUUCUCAUUGAGGGUCAGCUUUUUUUAAAACCCAGCUUUCCAGAUGGGUUGACUGAAGCACAAGGAGGUCAAGAGACUUGUCUGAGGUCAUACAGCAAGUCAGUGGCUCUGCUUGGACUGGAGCCCAGAACUGUUCAAGGCUACUACUCCUUGACUCUUAAAGGCACAACUUCGUUUUCCCCAUGAAGUGAUCACUACGAAGAAGACAUGAAAAAAAAAGGUGCCCUCAAAGCUGCGGCCUGCUGUGAUAGUUAUCUGUUACAACCUGUAGUUUUCAGUGUCUGAAUAGAUCCAUGUCAAAGCACAGGGGUGCGACACUGAUAUACAGCAUCAUCCAUCUCAGUCUUACAUAAUCCACAUUCUCCUAUAGGGCAGCUCUGCACUGCUGCUGCAGCCUGUAGUUUAGUCACAUUCCAUCCAGCGCUGCAGCAGAUCAUGAAAUUCACUGUCAGGCAAAACUGAAACCUCUCCUCAAGGCAAAAGAGGUCAAGUGCACUCAGGACCUGUGGAACAGCCUGAGUACUUGUUGCCACGGCCUGGACAAGGAGACAAAGGCAACACAUCCCUUCUGACUGACUGACCAACAGGGACCCUAAGCCCAGCUCUGUUCCUUACAACCACCAAGUACACCCUUCAAUCUAUGUCACAGGCUGGGCCACAGUCAGCAACUCAGACAGAAGGCAGACAGAUACCAUGGCAAACGCAUGCUUGCUCCAAAUGAAGAGGAAUGCAACUGGUGCUGGGUUCUCCCAGAGAAAACAUGACUCAGCUGUGCAUUGUUUUCAAAGAGGCAGAGCAAGAAAUGUGGAAUGGAGGAAGCAUUGCCAGAGGCUACACAGUCUCAGACAGCUUUAACAUCCCCUUAAGAAGAGUCCUGUUUCCCUCUUUCUUAUCACAGAGACAACUAAAACUUUGCCCUCCUACAAGCCACAUCCUCUGAUCAGGGCAGAGCUCCUCACUUACCUUUGAAAAGAAUUGAAACAGACUUCAAGUUAACAACACCAACACAUUUGGAAUGAGAUAAGCUUUUGAAGUCACUCUCUGAAGUCAGCAAGAGUGUCAACUUCUUCAUAUGCACAGUUGGAUACAAACUGCAACACCCUGCUGGACUUGCAUACAAGUAGUAAAGUGCUGCCGAACUCUGGCCACC